UGCCAGCCGCCGCGGUAAUACGGAGGGUGCAAGCGUUGUUCGGAGUUAUUGGGCGUAAAGCGCGUGUAGGCGGUUCGUUAAGUCAGAGGUGAAAGCCCGGGGCUCAACUCCGGGACUGCCUUUGAAACUAGAUGGCUAGAAUAUGGGAGAGGUGAGUGGAAUUCCGAGUGUAGAGGUGAAAUUCGUAGAUAUUCGGAAGAACACCAGUGGCGAAGGCGACUCACUGGACCAUUAUUGACGCUGAGGUGCGAAAGCGUGGGGAGCAAACAGGAUUAGAUA
rnacentral:rRNA from 1 species